ensembl:misc_RNA Metazoa_SRP Metazoan signal recognition particle RNA
GCUAGGCAUGGUGAAGCACGCCUGUAAUCCCAGCUACUCGAGAGGCUGAGGCAGGAGGAUUGCUUGAGCCUGGGAGUUCAGAGCUGUAGUGAGCUGUGAUGGCACCACUUCACCCCAGCCUGGACAACAGAGCAAGACCCUGUCUCAC